rnacentral:rRNA from 1 species
AGAGUUUGAUCCUGGCUCAGGAUGAACGCUGGCGGCGUGUCUAAGGCAUGCAAGUCGAAUGGGUUUAGACCCAUAGCAAACGGGUGAGUAACACAUUGGUAACCUACCUCGAAGUUCAGAAUAACUCCGCGAAAGUGGAGAUAAUACUGGAUGUGCUCAUAUUUCGAAUGAAAUAUGCGUAAAGAUUUAUCGCUUCGAGAGGGGUCUAUGGUCUAUCAGCUAGUUGGUGAGGUAAAAGCUCACCAAGGCUACGACGGAUAGCGGGCGUGAGAGCGCGACCCGCCUCACUGGGACUGAGAUACUGCCCAGACUCCUACGGGAGGCUGCAGUCAAGAAUUUUCCGCAAUGGCCGAAAGGCUGACGGAGCGACGCCGCGUGGAGGACGAAGCCCUUCGGGGUGUAAACUUCUUUUCUCAGGGAAGAACACAUGACGGUACCUGAGGAAUAAGGGGCUGCUAACUUCGUGCCAGCAGCAGCGGUAAUACGAAGGCCCCAAGCGUUAUCCGGAUUUAUUGGGCGUAAAGCGUCUGUAGGUGGUCUGAUAAGUUCCUCGUCAAAUACUGAUGCUCAACAUCAGCACUGCGCGGAAUACUAUUAGACUAGAGGUUGGGAGAGGUAGAUGGAAUUGCCGGUGUAGCGGUAAAAUGCGUUAAUAUCGGCAAGAACACCAAAUGCGAAAGCUUUCUACUGGAACACACCUGACACUGAGAGACGAAAGCGUGGGGAGCGAAUGGGAUUAGAUACCCCAGUAGUCCACGCCGUAAACGAUGAAUGCUUGACAUUGGCAGUUUCGACCCUGCCAGUGUCGCUUAACCAAGUUAACACCUUAAGCAUUCCGCCUGGGUAGUACGAGCGCAAGCUUAAAACUCAAAGGAAUUGACGGGGACCCGCACAAGCGGUGGAGCAUGUGGUUUAAUUCGACAAUAAGCGUGGAACCUUACCAAGGCUCGACAUGAUACUGCAAAUCUCCGGAAACGGAGACUCCUUCGAGGGUGUAUCACAGGUGCUGCAUGGUUGUCGUCAGCUCGUGUCGUGAGAUGUACCGUUAAGUCGGGUAACGAGCGCAACCCCUAUGCUGUGUUAAAUGUUCACAGCAAACUGCCUGUUUAUCACAGGAGGAAGGCGGGGAUGACGUCAAAUCAGCAUGGCUCUUACGCCUUGGGCUACACACGUGCUACAAUGGCUAGAACAAUGGGACGCCAAGUCGAAAAACGGAGCUAAUCCUCUAAAUUUAGCCUCAGUUCGGAUUGAGGUCUGCAACCCGACCUCAUGAAGUCGGAAUCGCUAGUAAACGCUUAUCAGCCAUGGAGCGUUGAAUACGUUCUCGGGUCUUGUACACACCGCCCGUCACGUCAAGGGAGUCUGUAGUACCCAAAUGUCCUCGUAGGAGGGCAAAAGGUAAGAUAGGCAACAGGGACGAAGUCGUAACAAGGCA